rnacentral:rRNA from 1 species
CAGCAGCCGCGGUAAUACGAGGGGGGCAAGCGUUGUUCGGAAUUAUUGGACGUAAAGGGUGCGUAGGCGGUUCAGCAAGUCUCGUGUGAAAUCUUCGGGCUCAACCCGAAGUCUGCACGGGAAACUACUGGGCUUGAGUAAUGGAGAGGUGAGUGGAAUUUCCGGUGUAGCGGUGAAAUGCGUAGAUAUCGGAAGGAACACCUGUGGCGAAAGCGGCUCACUGGACAUUUACUGACGCUGAUGCACGAAGGCUAGGGGAGCAAACAGGAUUAGAUACCCCAGUAGUCCCUGUCUCUUAUAC